GACAAGCCUCCUUAGAAUAAGAGCGUGCUCCAGCUCCCAGUUAAAUAUGAUCCUAAAUUCAAGGUCCAACCUUUGCUACUGCGUUAAGAGUCAGUAAAAGGAUACCUACAAAAGAGACAGAGGAGGUUCCUUUGACCUGAACCUAAACCUAAACAGAGGAUGGAUGAGAUAUAUGACUUCUUAAAAUCACGGGAUGCUUCAGAGGAAGUCAUACGACGACUGCAAAAGGAUAAGAUUGACUCCAGUGUCCUUCUGCUCAUGACAGAUGAGCAGCUUAAGGAGUAUCUCCCAUCUUAUGGUGACCGACUGGCACUUCUCGAAUAUUGCAGACGAAGGGAAAAUGAUCCUGCUGGCCGGAAAUCAAAACUUUUUGACCGAUUGAGAGCCAAGAUUUCAAGGAACAAAGGCAACGAUCAAAAGCAGAUCUCAGAAAAUGUUAGCAUCAGAAAUGCUCAAAAAACUGUUCGAAAAGUUGAGAUAGGAUGGAUGAAUUCUCGAGAUGGGAAGUUUUUUAAAGUUCGGACAAAGAAAGGUGGUGGAACAAGAAAAAUUUAUGUGUCAAAGGAAUGUUGCAAAAAUGACUUAAUUGAAAAGGCAGUGGGUUUGUUUUUUCCAUCUCAAAGAAAUUGUUGGGUAAAUUGUAUUAUUGAUAUUAUCAAAUUAUUUGUUGUUCAUGUAGUCUUAUAGUUAUAUCUUUAUAAUGUUUUACUUAUAUGCUUUUACUUCAUUUUAAUUUUAGUAUAAAGAAUAUUUCUGUAUAUUGAAUAACUUUGAUUCCUUCCUGAGGCCUUCCUGAGAGAAAGCAGUGACAACCGCUUCCUCUCCUUGACCUGUUAGAUAGCAACAAAGCCGUCACCGUGAAGACAUACAACUUGUUCUGCUCGACGCCGUGCCUGGAACAGAAGAAUCUAGUGUGUAGAUAACAUGUGUCUAGAUAGUGAUUGUCAUUAGCGCUGCAACUAUGUGAUGAUUUGUUUUCCCCGCCCUUUGAGAGUUGCAGCGCCCAAUGUGA